CUGGGUAAACUUAGCCGGCCUUGAACUCAUUUUAUGGUCCAAGCUGGCCUUAAAUUCAGAGAUCUGCCAUCCUCUGCUGCCUCCCCGAGUGCUGGGAUUAAAGGCAUGCUCUGCCUUCACCUUGUUAAGACUGAAAAUGGUUAUGCUAGCCUCUGAGUGGGGCAGUCGUUUCUCCAACUGCCCUUCAUUACACAAGCUUCUCUGAGGAGGUCUGAGAGUUGUGCUAAUCUGUGCUGUGCCUGAUCAUUUGGCUAAGAUCCCUUGGUUGAGCUCACUAGCCCCAGGGAUGAACCUACUACUAUUCUAAAAAUGUUCUGUCCUUAUUUUAGUAUUGGUGUAUUCCAGGAUUGAGUAGUCUUGAAUGAACAGGGAGAUCUGUCUGUGGUUUUCUGUGAAAUUGUAUCAUGUAGGGUUCCUUCUUUAAGAUUGCACAUCAUGAUUUUUUUUUUCCAUCAAGGAAUAUUUUACAAAACCAAGAAUAGUAUAAUAAACACUUGUAGUCUUAUGCCCCGAUUUAAAAGCUGUGAGCCUUUUGCUCUCUGUUUUAGUUUGCACAAACUCUGCCUCUCUGUGUCUCCCUGCCCAUAGCCAUUCUGCAUCCUCUUGUUGUUUGAACUCAGAUAUUGCGUGUCGUCCGCAAGCCUAUUCCUAGCUCCAUUUUACAUGUUUCAGAAUAUUUAGCACAAUUUAUUUUAAAUUGUCAGAGAUAGUACCUGUUUUUAAAUUUGUAUUUUUAACUUUUGAAAUUUUGCUGUCAAAGCCUGUGUCAUAAACUCAGAGAUGACAUUGUGGUCAUUGUGCUGGUGAUCCUGUCCACGUAUAGGUAAGAGGUGAUAGUUCUUAAAGCAUUUGUCCUGAAGGAAAAGAUAGAAAUGCACGUGCCGCUACUUUUCUCCUUGCUGUGACAGAAUACUUGACAAAAGGCGACUGAAGGGGUGGGAGGGGUUUGUGGUUCUGCAUCUCACCUCGAUGCUGUGGUUUGUGAACUCUGCUUGGGCAGAUGAAAGGGGAGGUAGCUGAAGAUGGGGACCCCAGCCCGGGUAAGGCAGGCUGAGGCUGAAGAGGUGGGGGCUGAUUCCCAAACUCCUGGGGUUGUCUAGUCAUCACUGGGAACCUCGUAGAGUCAGGAAUGAAGCAGGGCCAUGUGGGCCUGCAAUGGGAGUGGAGCAGGGGGAAGACUCCUGCUUAGCCUAGGAUGGCUUAGCUCAGGGGUGAGUGUCCAGGAGCAUGGAGGGGCCUUCUGUGGGAGACUUUAGCAGCUCUAUAUAAUGAAGGCUUCCCCCCAUGGUGGUUCUUGCUUGUUCAAACAUUUUGUUCAUUGUUCAUCAUGGGAAAUGGGUGCAUACAACUUACUCGGGGUGGACCAGAGAUUACAUACCUUUUGCAGGAAGGAAUGUCUUGGAUGGAAAGCUUAAAGUUAAACCCUCCAGUCAGCCCAUCUAGAUACCUCAUUGGUUUGGAGGACUCAGUGGUCAUUAUGAUCCUCAAGUGGGAUGUCCUGGUCACAUGCUCCAGGACAGGACCCAGGUUGAGUGCAGAUGGAACACCUACUGGUCUUAGAUAUGAGAAUACCGGGGGUUUCUGAACCCGUUCCACUUGCCCCACAGGGGUUCUUUUGCAGUAGGCAGGAAGGUCAGUAGCUCUAGCUUGUCAGCAGAAGUGAAAGGUCACAUUGCAUCCACAGUAGGGCUUGGAGAUGAUUGCUUUCUCUCCCUUUCAUUCAGUGUCUGACUCUAGCCACACCCAGAGUUGAGCCUCUUAACCUUCCUGGAAAUGCCUUCCCCAACGUGCCUAGAAGUCUCUGAGGUGACUCCCUGACUUUUUAACAGACAACUGAGAGUAUCCGUGCCAAAGGCCUAAUACCUAAACUAUGCUGCUGUGUUCCGGUGGCCACCCUUGGUGUUUUCAGACCCCAGACACUUGCACAUGACCCAGGCUAUAGUUGCUCUUACCUGUUGAUUUUAUUUCCGGUUAUAUAGUCUCUUGAAACUGAGUCUGUGGUGGUUUGGAUAAGAAUGGCCCUCGAGCGGGGCUCGGGUGGCGCACGCCUUUAUUUCUGAGUUCCAGGCCAACCUGGUCUACAAAGUAAGUUCCAGGACAGCCAGGGCUAUACAGAGAAACCCUGUUUCGAAAAACCAAAAAAAAAAAAAAAAGAAAGGCUCAUAGACUCACAUGUAUGAAUGCUUGCCCCGUAGGGAGCGCACUGUUAGGAGGUAUGUCCUGGUUGGAGUGGUCAUGGCUUUGUUGGAGGAAAUAUGUUGCUAUGGGGGCGGGCUUUGAGGUCUCCUAUGCUCACAGAUCCAGAUGCAGAACUCUCAUCUCCAUCUCCAGCACCAUGUCUGCCUGCACGCUGCCGCGUUUCCCUUUGUAAGAGUGAAUAGUCACCGUAACCUGACAUCUGUGUCCCUCCUACCUUAACUGCUCCCCCACUCCCCAAAAAGAUACAGAAUAAGAAAAAGUCAAGAGAGGACAAUAAAUAAAGGACAGUGUCAGGGCAGAGUUUAUCCUAGGUGUUUAUUCUCAGAAAAUUAGAGGACUUGGGUUCUGGAAAAGAACUUGCAGAAAUGAUUGUGAGAUAAAGACCUGCUCAGUCUCAAACAGAGCUCAGAGCAUGGCAAGGAUCAAAAUAAGACCUGCAGUGUUAAUUUCUGUGCCUACAAAACAACACCUUCUUGUAGCUUCUGUGGGCACCCACAUGCAUGUGGCGUCUAUACCCAUACACAAGAAAUACCCCCCCCCCCAAGCCAGGGUUUUCUGGUAUAGCCCUAGCUAUCCUAGAAAUAACUCUGUAGACCAGGCUGACCUUGAACCUAGAGAUCCUCCUGCCUCUGCCUCCCCAAGUGCUGGGACUCUAAAACCCAAUUGCUUGGGAAAGUUUUCUGAUGUUGUGUGUGUGUGUGUGUGUGUGUGUGUGUGUGUGUGUGUGAUGGUUAGGGGGGCUUAGAUGAACACUUAAAAUGUGCUAUAGUGAAGUCAAAUCACCAACUCUCAAAAACAGGAGGACUCAAGGGUUAAGGCUGGGUCUCCUCAUACUCUAAGCUUUGUGGCUUCUCAGGUAUGCAACCUUGACCAAGUUAUUUAUAUAAUGUCUCAGAUUCAGCAGGCACGAUGGCACACACCUUCUAUCCAGCACUUGGGAGCAGAGGCAGGUGGGGCCUCUGAUUUCAAGGCCAGCCUACUCUAUGUAGGAGGUCCAGAGCAACCAGGGCCACAUAAUGAAAUCCUGCGCUCUCCUGUUUUUAUUUCUGACUCCAUGGUCACACCCCCUCAGAGUAGAUCGCAUAAUUUUUUACAUCUUAUUGCCUGUCAUCCUCCAUUUGGGUUUGAGAGGUCUGGCAGGCAGCCUGCACAUAUGCACAUACGCAGUGUGAACAAAGGAAUUUCACUUCCCAAGUGCUGGAACAAGCAGAGAAGCCAGGCCAUUUUCAGUAGUAAACAACCAGUUGUUAGCAGUGUUAGGCGAUGAACCAAGGCAGCCCUGGUUCAAAGCCCUUUGUACCAACAUCAAUAUAUAGGCUAAUGAACCCUUCAAUACAAACUUGCAUCUUCACUUUGAAGCCUGUCUUCUGCUUGGUAAGGUUAUUUCUGCCCUAAUAGCCUGUUCUACUUACUGCAGCGCUCAUCUAGUUAAUCUCUAAUGUGUGUGGCAAAUGCCAAGAGCAAGACCCUAACACACAGUGUUCCUCCAUGGCUGCCAUAGAAGAAAAGAAAAAAGAAAAGAAAAGAAAAGAAAAGAAAAGAAAAGAAAAGAAAAGAAAAGAAAGAGCCGGGCGUGGUGGCGCACGCCUUUAAUCCCAGCACUUGGGAGGCAGAGGCAGGCAAAUUUCUGAGUUCGAGGCCAGCCUGGUCUACAAAGUGAGUUCCAGGACAGCCAGGGCUAUACAGAGAAACCCUGUCUCGAAAGAAAAGAAAACAAGAAAAAAAGAAACGAAAAAGAAAAAGAGGAGAAGAAAAAAUUACUAUAUUGUAGACUUUGAAAGAUAGAAAGGUCUUAAAUCCCCCUCCCGCUCCCCACCAUGCUGCCCCCAAGAUCUGUCUCAGAUUUCUUUCUGUUCAGAUGUCCUCUUUUCUUUCCUGUCCUGGACUUAGAUGGUACCAGAGGUCCUGGUUGAGGUCACACUCAAUUAGAAGGCAGCCAAAGGCCAAGAAAGAGGCCACCCACUGUCCAGCUAUCCUCAUGCCUUUUUGGGGAAUUCUCUAAGAACUCUACCAGGACUAAUAGUUCCUUCCUGAGGUUUUACUAAGAGUCUCCAGUUGGCAGGAGGUAGUCAUUAGUGUCUCUACCUGAGAGCAGCUCAUUGUUCUCUUUACCAAAGAAGUCUCCAAGAGGACAAAUAGCUUUCCCCAAACUUGUCAACAGGCAAAAGACAUCACCAUCUCCACCACCAAAACGUGGAGCCUCCCAUUCUCCAGCCGGCACACAAAUCUCCCCAGUCACUAAGAGGCAAAGCCUUCAUGCCGUGGAAGCUGGGAAAGGGUCAUCCCCCUCUUUCUUCCAACCACAUUCAAAACAAUUGCAUUUGCUUUUACCAUGGCCUCGAAUGUCUCAGGCCUUUUCAAGUCCUCUGCCUACUGGAAGAGGGGCAUCACUCCAAUGCAGGGAACCCAUCUUCUUAGAGGGACUUUCUAAGCCUAUAUAUCCCCCACUGGCUUGCUCACUAAACUCUGAUAAGUAGUGAAGGUUCUUGCCUGCCUCAAAAGUGAGGACCGACAGCAGUUCAGGUCAAAAGACUCAGGCCUAUUAACUGGCAAGGGAUUUGGAUUCCAAGAAGGCAGAAAAGUAAAGACAGAAAAGGGCAAGGAACACUAAAAGUUCAAAAGCACAAUAAACAUGAAAAGAAAAGCUAGAUGCAGCACAGGUGGAGGGAGGGGCCACGGCCUCGAGGUGGGAACUCCGUGGGCCCUGCUGAGAUGCUUGCAGGAAGGGUCUAGGAACCUUGGGGAGGCUUAAGGGUGUCCCGUCCGUGUUCUCAGCCUUGUUCUCAGCUGGUAGUUUGACAUGUAAGUUUUACUUGGUUUGGAUACAAUUUGAUUUCAAAACUAUUGAAAUGUGUUUGUGUUCUUAGACUCUUACCAUUUGCUAUAAUUGCAGGGUUGAAGUAUGCUUUGUGAAAACAGAAGUGUUUGUAUUGCCCAACAUGUCCACAAUGCAUUGGUUAUUCUCGAUUGUUAACACCCAGGGGGAAGCACUUUAUGCCAAGAAAAAUUCCCCUUUAAAAACAAAGCAGGCUGGGCAUCCUGUGCUUAUGAGGCAGAGGCAGGCAGAUCUCUGUGAGUUCAAGGCCAGCCUGGUCUACAGAGGGAGAUUUUCAAGUCAGCCAAGGCUACAUUUUAAGACCCAGUCUCAAAAACAAAAAGAAAACAAACAAAAGGAUGGAUCCCAAAUAUUGAAAGUGUUCUUAUCGUUCCUUUAAAUAUCGCUGGCUGCCUCUGUUUUUUUUCUCUUAGUGUUUUUCCCUUGCUAAUUUGAGGCUUAGUACACAUUAUGUUAUAAUUCUCCUGACCUUGUUUACUUUGUCAGUGUGCCCAGAAACAGUCCUCUUACCUCCCACAAAAAGCAGAGUUUCAUAUUCUAAUGCUGCAAUUGUUCCUAGAGUCUGUGGAAUCUGCUGUAAUGAAUCAACAACAUCUGUGCUCCGGAAGACAGAAAACAGAGUGUACUGGCUAGUUUUGUGUCAACUUGACACAGCUGGAGUUAUCACAGAGAAAGGAGCUUCAGUUGAGGAAAUGCCUCCAUGAGAUACAAC
rnacentral:lncRNA from 1 species